CAACCCUCAAGCUCUGCUUGGUGUUGGGGCACUGCCGCUCCCUUCGGGGGGAGGCAGGCCCUGAAAUCUAGUGGCGAGCUCGCUAGGACUCCGAGCGUAGUAGUUUUUAACCUCGCUAUGGACGGACUAGCGGUGCCCUGCCGUUAAACCCCCUAAAUUUCUGAAA
rnacentral:misc_RNA from 1 species